UACGUAGGGCGCAAGCGUUGUCCGGAAUUAUUGGGCGUAAAGAGCUCGUAGGCGGUUUGUCGCGUCUGCUGUGAAAACCUAAGGCUCAACCUUGGGCUUGCAUUCGAUACGGGCAGACUAGAGUUCGGUAGGGGAGUCUGGAAUUCCUGGUGUAGCGGUGAAAUGCGCAGAUAUCAGGAGGAACACCGGUGGCGAAGGCGGGACUCUGGGCCGAUACUGACGCUGAGGAGCGAAAGCGUGGGGAGCAAACAGG
rnacentral:rRNA from 1 species